rnacentral:rRNA from 1 species
AGCAGCCGCGGUAAUUCCAGCUCCAAUAGCGUAUAUUAAAGUUGUUGCAGUUAAAAAGCUCGUAGUUGAAUUUCGGGAUCAAAUUGUUGGUCGUGCUUCGGUACGCACUGGCAUUAUUGGUUCCUACCUUCUGAAGAACCGCGAUGUCAUUAAUUUGGUGUCGUGGGGAAUCAGGACUGUUACUUUGAAAAAAUUAGAGUGUUUAAAGCAGGCGCACGCUUGAAUACAUUAGCAUGGAAUAAUGAAAUAGGACGUUUGAUUCUAUUUUGUUGGUUUCUAGGAUCGACGUAAUGAUUAAUAGGGAUAGUUGGGGGCAUUAGUAUUCAAUUGUCAGAGGUGAAAUUCUUGGAUUUAUUGAAGACUAACUACUGCGAAAGCAUUUGCCAAGGAUGUUUUCAUUAAUCAAGAACGAAAGUUAGGGGAUCGAAGACGAUCAGAUACCGUCGUAGUCUUAACCAUAAACUAUGCCGACUAGGGAUCGGA